GACGAACGCUGGCGGCGUGCUUAACACAUGCAGGUCGAACGGAAAGGCCCUGCUUGCAGGGUACUCGAGUGGCGAACGGGUGAGUAACACGUGGGUGAUCUGCCCUGCACUUCGGGAUAAGCCUGGGAAACUGGGUCUAAUACCGGAUAGGAGCCAUUUUUAGUGUGAUGGUUGGAAAGUUUUUUCGGUGUAGGAUGAGCUCGCGGCCUAUCAGCUUGUUGGUGGGGUAAUGGCCUACCAAGGCGGCGACGGGUAGCCGGCCUGAGAGGGUGGACGGCCACAUUGGGACUGAGAUACGGCCCAGACUCCUACGGGAGGCAGCAGUGGGGAAUAUUGCACAAUGGGCGCAAGCCUGAUGCAGCGACGCCGCGUGGGGGAUGACGGCCUUCGGGUUGUAAACUCCUUUCGCUAGGGACGAAGCUUUUGUGACGGUACCUAGAUAAGAAGCACCGGCUAACUACGUG
rnacentral:rRNA from 1 species